AGAGUUUGAUCAUGGCUCAGGAUGAACGCUAGCGGGAGGCCUAACACAUGCAAGCCGAGCGGUAGAGAUUCUUCGGAAUCUUGAGAGCGGCGUACGGGUGCGGAACACGUGUGCAACCUACCUUUAUCUGGAGGAUAGCCUUUCGAAAGGAAGAUUAAUACUCCAUAAUAUAUUGAUUGGCAUCAAUUGAUAUUGAAAGCUCCGGCGGAUAGAGAUGGGCACGCGCAAGAUUAGCUAGUUGGUGAGGUAACGGCUCACCAAGACGAUGAUCUUUAGGGGCCUGAGAGGGUGAUCCCCCACACUGGUACUGAGACACGGACCAGACUCCUACGGGAGGCAGCAGUGAGGAAUAUUGGUCAAUGGGUGCAAGCCUGAACCAGCCAUCCCGCGUGAAGGACGACUGCCCUAUGGGUUGUAAACUUCUUUUGUAUAGGGAUAAACCUACCCUCGCGAGGGUAGCUGAAGGUACUAUACGAAUAAGCACCGGCUAACUCCGUG
rnacentral:rRNA from 1 species